rnacentral:rRNA from 1 species
GACGAACUGAGCAAACGUUAUUCGGAAUCACUGGGCUUAAAGGGUGCGUAGGCGGUCUUUUAAGUAGGGUGUGAAAGCCUCUGGCUCAACCAGAGAACUGCGCCCUAAACUAGAAGGCUUGAGUGAGGUAGGGGUGUGUGGAACUUCCAGUGGAGCGGUGAAAUGUGUUGAUAUUGGAAGGAACGCCGGUGGCGAAAGCGACACACUGGACCUUGUCUGACGCUGAGGCACGAAAGCCAGGGGAGCAAACGGG